CGUUUUCUCCGCCGGCGACCGGCGCACGGGUGAGUAACACGUAUGCAACCUGCCCCUGUCAGGGGGACAACCCGCCGAAAGGCGGGCUAAACCCGCGUACAUGCCACCGGGGCAUCCCGGAGGCAGGAAAGGCUUCGGCCGGACAGGGAUGGGCAUGCGGCGCAUUAGGCAGUAGGCGGGGUAACGGCCCACCUAACCGACGAUGCGUAGGGGUUCUGAGAGGAAGGUCCCCCACACUGGUACUGAGACACGGACCAGACUCCUACGGGAGGCAGCAG
rnacentral:rRNA from 1 species